rnacentral:lncRNA from 1 species
UUCUCAUAUGUAUUAUAAAAAAUAUGAUUAUUUUAGUAAUUUUUAUUCUUAUAGUAGUUUAACAAUAAGAAUUACUUCAAGACUUUUUUUAAAACUUACAACACUUUUAAAAUAAAUUGUACCAAACGACCAACCCAGUUAGCUUCCUUUAGCUAGUGGAGGCCUCUUGUAGGGGUUCAAUUAGCUAAGGGUUAGCUCUAUCUCCUCGGGAGACUAGUGCUGAUGCAACUAAAGGGCAAUCCGCAGUGGUGGGAGAGGUGAAGGGGCAUCAAUCGUAAUGGUGAUCCCAUCCGAUGAAGUAGCUAUGCAAGCACUACGGCCUAAACACGAGCUUGCGGUGAAAGGUUGAACCUGAGAUUCGUCUCCAAUGAUGAAAAACUUAGCUCCACUCCCUUUGAUGAACAUUGUUAAUGGACAUGCUGCAAGAGCGUAGGUAAGCUUAUGAGGCGUGACCGAAGGGCAGCGACAGCUUUUCACAGAUGAUUAUUUCUACAGUAUAACUAACAACAAUUAUUUUAAAAGUUAUAACAUUAUCAAAUUGACUCUAAAUUUUUUAUAAGAAAAACAAAUACAUUUAAAAAAAUUGAAGAA